GUUCGAGGCCCUGGUGGAAAGAGACGGGACAAAACCCAUGAGGUGAUACCAGUUUAAAAAUUGAAUGCAUGAAUCCAAGCUGAUCACACAGUCCGCUGCCUCUGAAGGAAAAAACUACAAACUUUUUGAGCCACCAUUCAAGACUGGAGGGGAGAAGAUCAGCAAGAAGAGGGUGGAGGAUGAGACACAGAUUGGUGAAAAUGAGAAGAGGGACCAAAAAGAGGGAUGUCAAUGAACUGAGUGAAACAGAUGGAGCGAAUGAGAGGUGCCUGGGCGGGGCCUGCCGCUCUCUACCCGGACACACCAACAGUAACCUGUAGCAGUGUGACACUGCACGGGGCUGUAGCGGCCAUCUGCAGUGCAUUCUGGGAUGAAACGCUCUUCCUGCCUGGCUGAACGCAUCUGAGAGAGCAGCGACGCUCGCUCACGCUCACACGUCCGAGGACUAAGCAGCAGGCACACUGACUCUUACCGGUGGGACGUCUGCCCGAGCGGUUUCCGUUCAUCAGGAUGGUCACCCAGAACGGAGGAGCUGUCAGCUCUGGACAAGAGAAUCUUACUGUCAAAAAGUCUUUAAUGUGAGCCGUAAUGUGAUGUUUUACACGUUCUGCUGAGGGGAGCUGCAGAUUCUCUGUAGGUUCAUCACUACGAGCGACCCCUUUCACAUUGUCAUAUUGUUUUCAUUUUGUCAUUUGAUACAUUGUUAUGAUAAAAAUAUCAAUUUUAGCUGCUUUAAGAUCCCCUCGGAAAUUUAAAGGAGAAAAAAAACAGACAUUAAGAGGCAGCAAAAUGUGCAGUACAUUUCGAGUAGGGAAUUGGCUUGGCAAGUAUUUGCUUUGGCUGUUGAGUUUGUCUACUCAGCAAGUCUGUCUGACAGGAGACAAACCUUAACCUACUGUUCUUUAUUCUGUUUUAAUAAAUCAGUGAAUGCAGAAGUACAACCUGGAGUAUUUGAUCAAUAGUACUAAGUGUCUGGAAUAGCUUGGAUAAACCUCAUCGGUAUAUUGGAUCCUUAUUGGAGACGGUUCGGUUUGUCACCUGAAGGUUUUCUGGGGUCCAGUGUAGGCCCAGGUUCACCAACUUCAUCUGGAACAUAAGAAAAGAGAGUGAAAGUACCACGAAUGAGGGAGGAAAUAGUCGUGACGGAGGGGGAAAACGUGUGAAGAAUCAGAGAACAGAGGAAAGAUUGGACAGAGAGGGGGACAUUUUUGGAGUCUUGACAUGUGGAGUGGUUUGUGAAUGUUCAAGUUCCUGCAGGUGUGUCUGGCAGAGAAACAACCAGUGUCAUGCCAGGAAAAGCCAGAAAAAACUAAAAAUGACAAACAUACGGAGCAAAUUUUUCUGUGAAUGUAUAGCACAUAUAUUCAAGUAGAGAAUAUGAAGAAUAAAAGUAUUGUCAUAAUGAAUGCAGGGAGCAAUGCUGCCUUUGUGAA